GGUUAAGCGACUAAGCGUACACGGUGGAUGCCCCGGCAGUCAGAGGCGAUGAAGGACGUGCUAAUCUGCGAAAAGCGUCGGUAAGGUGAUAUGAACCGUUAUAACCGGCGAUGUCCGAAUGGGGAAACCCAGUGUGAUUCGUCACACUAUCGUUAACUGAAUACAUAGGUUAACGAGGCGAACCGGGGGAACUGAAACAUCUAAGUACCCCGAGGAAAAGAAAUCAACCGAGAUUCCCCCAGUAGCGGCGAGCGAACGGGGAGCAGCCCAGAGUCUGAAUCAGCUUGUGUGUUAGUGGAACGGUCUGGAAAGUCCGACGGUACAGGGUGAUAGUCCCGUACACCAAAAUGCACAGGCUGUGAACUCGAAGAGUAGGGCGGGACACGUGGUAUCCUGUCUGAAUAUGGGGGGACCAUCCUCCAAGGCUAAAUACUCCUGACUGACCGAUAGUGAACCAGUACCGUGAGGGAAAGGCGAAAAGAACCCCGGCGAGGGGAGUGAAAAAGAACCUGAAACCGUGUACGUACAAGCAGUGGGAGCACCUUCGGGUGUGACUGCGUACCUUUUGUAUAAUGGGUCAGCGACUUAUAUUCUGUAGCAAGGUUAACCGUAUAGGGGAGCCGCAGGGAAACCGAGUCUUAACUGGGCGUUAAGUUGCAGGGUAUAGACCCGAAACCCGGUGAUCUAGCCAUGGGCAGGUUGAAGGUUGGGUAACACUAACUGGAGGACCGAACCGACUAAUGUUGAAAAAUUAGCGGAUGACUUGUGGCUGGGGGUGAAAGGCCAAUCAAACCGGGAGAUAGCUGGUUCUCCCCGAAAGCUAUUUAGGUAGCGCCUCGUGAAUUCAUCUUCGGGGGUAGAGCACUGUUUCGGCUAGGGGGUCAUCCCGACUUACCAACCCGAUGCAAACUACGAAUACCGAAGAAUGUUAUCACGGGAGACACACGGCGGGUGCUAACGUCCGUCGUGAAGAGGGAAACAACCCAGACCGCCAGCUAAGGUCCCAAAGUCAUGGUUAAGUGGGAAACGAUGUGGGAAGGCACAGACAGCCGGGAUGUUGGCUUAGAAGCAGCCAUCAUUUAAAGAAAGCGUAAUAGCUCACUGGUCGAGUCGGCCUGCGCGGAAGAUGUAACGGGGCUAAACCAUGCACCGAAGCUGCGGCAGCGACACUAUGUGUUGUUGGGUAGGGGAGCGUUCUGUAAGCCUGCGAAGGUGUGCUGUGAGGCAUGCUGGAGGUAUCAGAAGUGCGAAUGCUGACAUAAGUAACGAUAAAGCGGGUGAAAAGCCCGCUCGCCGGAAGACCAAGGGUUCCUGUCCAACGUUAAUCGGGGCAGGGUGAGUCGACCCCUAAGGCGAGGCCGAAAGGCGUAGUCGAUGGGAAACAGGUUAAUAUUCCUGUACUUGGUGUUACUGCGAAGGGGGGACGGAGAAGGCUAUGUUAGCCGGGCGACGGUUGUCCCGGUUUAAGCAUGUAGGCUGGUUGUCGGGCAAAUCCGGAUAAUCAAGGCUGAGGUGUGAUGACGAGGCACUACGGUGCUGAAGUAACAAAUGCCCUGCUUCCGGGAAAAGCCUCUAAGCAUCAGGUAACAUCAAAUCGUACCCCAAACCGACACAGGUGGUCAGGUAGAGAAUACCAAGGCGCUUGAGAGAACUCGGGUGAAGGAACUAGGCAAAAUGGUGCCGUAACUUCGGGAGAAGGCACGCUGGUGUGUAGGUGAAGUCCCUGCGGAUGGAGCUGAGACCAGUCGAAGAUACCAGCUGGCUGCAACUGUUUAUUAAAAACACAGCACUGUGCAAACACGAAAGUGGACGUAUACGGUGUGACGCCUGCCCGGUGCCGGAAGGUUAAUUGAUGGGGUUAUCCGUAAGGAGAAGCUCUUGAUCGAAGCCCCGGUAAACGGCGGCCGUAACUAUAACGGUCCUAAGGUAGCGAAAUUCCUUGUCGGGUAAGUUCCGACCUGCACGAAUGGCGUAAUGAUGGCAGGGCUGUCUCCACCCGAGACUCAGUGAAAUUGAACUCGCUGUGAAGAUGCAGUGUACCCGCGGCAAGACGGAAAGACCCCGUGAACCUUUACUAUAGCUUGACACUGAACAUUGAGCCUUGAUGUGUAGGAUAGGUGGGAGGCUUUGAAGCGUGGACGCCAGUCUGCGUGGAGCCAACCUUGAAAUACCACCCUUUAAUGUUUGAUGUUCUAACGUUGGCCCCUUAUCGGGGUUGCGGACAGUGUCUGGUGGGUAGUUUGACUGGGGCGGUCUCCUCCCAAAGCGUAACGGAGGAGCACGAAGGUUAGCUAAUCCUGGUCGGACAUCAGGAGGUUAGUGCAAUGGCAUAAGCUAGCUUGACUGCGAGCGUGACGGCGCGAGCAGGUGCGAAAGCAGGUCAUAGUGAUCCGGUGGUUCUGAAUGGAAGGGCCAUCGCUCAACGGAUAAAAGGUACUCCGGGGAUAACAGGCUGAUACCGCCCAAGAGUUCAUAUCGACGGCGGUGUUUGGCACCUCGAUGUCGGCUCAUCACAUCCUGGGGCUGAAGUAGGUCCCAAGGGUAUGGCUGUUCGCCAUUUAAAGUGGUACGCGAGCUGGGUUUAGAACGUCGUGAGACAGUUCGGUCCCUAUCUGCCGUGGGCGCUGGAGAAUUGAGGGGGGCUGCUCCUAGUACGAGAGGACCGGAGUGGACGCAUCACUGGUGUUCGGGUUGUCAUGCCAAUGGCACUGCCCGGUAGCUAAAUGCGGAAGAGAUAAGUGCUGAAAGCAUCUAAGCACGAAACUUGCCCCGAGAUGAGUUCUCCCUGAGACUUUAAGUCUCCUGAAGGAACGUUAAAGACGAUGACGUUGAUAGGCCGGGUGUGUAAGCGCAGCGAUGCGUUGAGCUAACCGGUACUAAUGAACCGUGAGGCUUAACCUU
rnacentral:rRNA from 1 species